CGCCACCACGCCCGGCUAACUUUUGUGUUUUUAGUAGAGACAGGGUUUCGCCAUGUUGGCCCAGCUGGUCUCGAACUCUUGACCUCAAAUGAUCCACCCACCUUGGCCUCCCAGAGUGCUGGGAUUGCAGGAGUGAGCCACCGCACCCUGCUCAUUUAUUAAUUUAUUUGUCCAAUAUUUAUCAAUCUCCUACCAUGCCCAAGGCACCUUAGAGGGCACCGAGAAUACAACAGCAAACACGACACAGUCCCUACCCUCGGUCACUUCAAGAGCUGGAGGGAGAGGGGAGUGAGUGAAAACAGUGCACUGAGAUGGAAGAUGGGAGGGGCAAUCGGGGGUGCUUCACAGAGGAGGAGGCAUGUUGGUAACGUGGUAACGUGGAACGUUGGUAACGUUCCGUGAUAACGUGGAAAGUUGGUAACGUUCCGUGAAGUCUGCAUCUUCAAAUGCCCCUACCUCUGUCUAGGCUGAUGAGACGGGAGAAUGGCCAGGCCUGAGAAGUGGCUUAUGGUUGGAGGGGAGUCAGAAAGGGAAGGAUGAUUUCUCAGAAGGAAUGAGAGGAGCGCAGCCCCCUUGGUGAUCCCCACUUCCUGGGGAACGGGCCUUUUCCUGGCAGUGCUGUGCUGCGGCCCCGCGGGCCAAAUGCGGGUAGACAUGCUGCCCUCCCGCGCGUGGCCGGGAAAAGGGCAGGGCACUGUUCCUUCCCUGUGCCCCUCCUCUCUGCCAUCAGUCUCCACUUCUCUAUUUACCUCUCUGCCCUCUCGCCCCUAAACCUCCUUUCUCUCUCCAUCUGGCUUCCCUCUCCAUCCGUCAGUGAGCUGUGAUUGCGCUGCACUCCAGCCUGGGCGACAGAGUGAGACUUUGUCUCUAAAAAAGAAGAAGAAAAAAAAAAAACGAAUGAUGAAGGAAAGUGACAAGAUUUCCAUUUCCAGAAACCCAAGUCUUGACGUUAUCCACACGGAAGAUGUCGCUCAGAAUACACUUUUCUUGGAGAAGGACGGCUCUGCAACUGCAUUCAAUUCAGUUUCUUGCCUGAGGAGGGUGAAAAAACAAGGAGGGUCUCAAGAACUGAGCGCAGCUGUGAGGAGCAGCUCACAAGGAAGGAGUCCCAUCAUUUACUGGACAGCUCUGAGUCUCCAACGAUUUAUCAAUUGUAGCUCAGGUUUUCCUACCCCAGUGCUGAUUCCUGUGGAGGUUUCUGCUCAGGUGAGUUAAGACUCUGUACCUGCUUGUUUGCCUCUUCAAUUUUGGAGGCAGUGGUUUGCCUUGUGACCUCAC
rnacentral:lncRNA from 1 species